rnacentral:rRNA from 1 species
GAUGAACGCUGACAGAAUGCUUAACACAUGCAAGUCAACUUGAAUUUGGGUUUUUAACUUAGGUUUGGGUGGCGGACGGGUGAGUAACGCGUAAAGAACUUGCCUCCCAGCUAGGGACAACAUUUGGAAACGAAUGCUAAUACCUAAUAUUAUGAUAAUAGGGCAUCCUAUAAUUAUGAAAGCUAUAAGCGCUGUGAGAGAGCUUUGCGUCCCAUUAGCUAGAUGGAGAGGUAACGGCUCACCAAGGCGAUGAUGGGUAGCCGGCCUGAGAGGGUGAUCGGCCACAAGGGGACUGAGACACGGCCCUUACUCCUUCGGGAGGCAGCAGUGGGGAAUAUUGGACAAUGGACCGAGAGUCUGAUCCAGCAAUUCUGUGUGCACGAUGAAGUUUUUCGGAAUGUAAAGUGCUUUCAGUUGGGAAGAAACAAAUGACGGUACCAACAGAAGAAGUGACGGCUAAAUACGUG